CGUUCGGAAUCGCAUUCGUGUGCUGGAGUCAGAGCGCGCUGCGGGGCAUCACUGCACCGCCACGGAGGACACACCACCACCAUCACACAACCAGGAACAGGGAAAAGGGGGAAAAGGCGUGAAAUAGCGCAGAGAGGAGACAGAAGAAACAGGGCGGCCCUUUUUUUUCCCAAAUCACCUGCUACAUCUCUGGGAAAUUAAACAGGAGCCAGACAUUUGCUAAUCAUAAAAACGCGAACGCAGCGGACAUCUCAAGUGGUAUUUUUGGCCAGCACGGCGGGGAAAAAUGAAGGAUCGCACGCAGGAACUACGAAGUGCUAAGGACAGUGACGAUGACGAGGAAGUCGUUCAUGUCGACCGAGACCACUUUAUGGAUGAAUUUUUCGAACAGGUGGAGGAGAUCCGUGGCUGUAUUGAAAAGCUGUCAGAGGAUGUGGAACAGGUGAAGAAGCAGCACAGUGCCAUCCUAGCAGCACCAAACCCUG